CCCUUAGAUGUCCUGGGCCGCACGCGCGCUACACUGAUGCAUUCAACGAGUCUAAAACCUGCUCUGAUAGGGGUGGGUAAUCUUUUGAAUGUGCAUCGUGAUUGGGAUAGAUGAUUGCAAUUUUUCAUCUUCAACGAGGAAUGCCUAGUAAACGCAAGUCAUCAGCUUGCAUUGAUUACGUCCCUGCCCUUUGUACACACCGCCCGUCGCUCCUACCGAUUGAAUGAUCCGAUGAAUAUCAUGGAUUGAGGAUGCAAGCAGGUUCGCCUGUCUUCAUCUUCGAGAAGUGAAGUAAAUCUUAUCAUUUAGAGGAAGGAGAAGUCGUAACA
rnacentral:rRNA from 1 species